rnacentral:rRNA from 1 species
UGGGGAAUAUUGGGCAAUGGGCGAAAGCCUGACCCAGCAACGCCGCGUGAGGGAAGAAGGUCUUCGGAUUGUAAACCUCUGUCCUAUGGGACGAAACAAACGACGGUACCAUAGGAGGAAGCCCCGGCUAACUACGUGCCAGCAGCCGCGGUAAUCCGUAGGGGGCAAGCGUUGUCCGGAAUUACUGGGCGUAAAGGGUGCGUAGGCGGUUGCCUAAGUCAGAUGUGAAAUCCCCGGGCUUAACUCGGGUGGGGCAUGUGAAACGGGGUGGCUAGAGUGCAGGAGAGGGAAGCGGAAUUCCUAGUGUAGCGGUGAAAUGCGUAGAUAUUAGGAGGAACACCAGUGGCGAAGGCGGCUUUCUGGACUGUAACUGACGCUGAGGCACGAAAGCGUGGGGAGCAAACA